ensembl:lncRNA novel transcript
AGAUCUCAGCCUUGGGUGAAAAGUGUCAGCCCGCACACUUUCUGUUUUACCUCCGGCCGCUCUUUUAACCUUUAUCCUUUCCCUGCCCCCUUUCAGACCCUCUUACUCACCUCCACAGAUGACGUGUAAAAGAGCUCAAAUCAGUGUGUUACCUUUCCUGGGGUUAUUUUCUUUUUAAACUGAGGUUUUGUCCCUUGGUGAGAAAGCUGGGGUACCGCUGAAAAGAAAGCCAGCCUGGGAGCAAGAGACUUGGAUUUAAAUCUUGCAUCUGUACUUUCUAGUUGUGGGGUCUCUGAUGAGUUACUUUAGCUCUCUGAACCUCAGGGUCCUCAUCUAUAAAAUGGAAGAAUGUCCAAUGCUUUGGGAGGCUGAGGUGGGGGGAUCGCUUGAGCCCAGGAGUCCAGGACCAGCCCGGGCAACGUAGCAAGAUCCCAUGUCUAUGAAAAAAACCCACAAAUUAGCUGGGUAUGUUUGUUCCCACCCAUAGUCACAGCUACUUGGGAGGCUGGGGUGGCUCGAUUGCUUGAGCCCAGGCGUCCGAUGUUACAGUGAGCUGUGUGAUCACACCACUGCACUCCAGCCUGAAUGACAGAGCAAGACCCUGUCUCUUUAAAAAAAAAAAAAAAAA